rnacentral:tRNA from 1 species
GGUCCCAUCGUCUAGUGGCCCAGGACACCACCCUCUCAAGGUGGAGGCACGGGUUCAAAUCCCGUUGGGACUACCA